rnacentral:tRNA from 1 species
GCCUGGGUGGCUCAGUUGGUUGAGCAUCUGAUUUUGGCUCAGGUUGUGAUCUCAUGGUUCCUGAGUUUGAGACUCACAUCAGGCU